GGGAGAAUAGUGUAGUGGCUAUCACGCUUCAUUUGCAUUCAUGUUUCUUCGCAUCUUGAAGAGGUCCCGGGUUCAAUCCCCGGUUCUUCCA